rnacentral:rRNA from 1 species
UAGGAAACAGAUGACUAAUACCGGAUAACAACAGAUGAUGCCUAUCAACUGUUUAAAAGAUGGUUCUGCUAUCACUCUUGGAUGGACCUGCGGUGCAUUAGCUAGUUGGUAGGGUAACGGCCUACCAAGGCGAUGAUGCAUAGCCGAGUUGAGAGACUGAUCGGCCACAUUGGGACUGAGACACGGCCCAAACUCCUACGGGAGGCAGCAGC